rnacentral:rRNA from 2 species
GGAUCACCUACUAUAUGACUUGUCUUCUCUGACGUUAGCGGCGGACGGGUGAGUAACACGUGGGCAACCUGCCUGUAAGACUGGGAUAACUUCGGGAAACCGAAGCUAAUACCGGAUAGGAUCUUCUCCUUCAUGGGAGAUGAUUGAAAGAUGGUUUCGGCUAUCACUUACAGAUGGGCCCGCGGUGCAUUAGCUAGUUGGUGAGGUAACGGCUCACCAAGGCAACGAUGCAUACCCAACCUGAGAGGGUGAUCGGCCACCCUGGGACUGAAACACGGCCCAAACUCCUACGGGAGGCAGCAGUAGGGAAUCUUCCGCAAGGGACAAAAGUCUGACGGACCACCCCCCCGGGAGUGAUGAAGGCUUUCGGGUCGUAAAACUCUGUUGUUAGGGAAAAACAAGUACAAAAGUAACUGCUUGUACCUUGACGGUACCUAACCAAAAAGCCACGGCUAACUACGUGCCACCAGCCGCGGUAAUACGUAGGUGGCAAGCGUUAUCCGGAAUUAUUGGGCGUAAAGCGCGCGCAGGCGGUUUCUUAAGUCUGAUGUGAAAGCCCACGGCUCACCCGUGGAGGGUCAUUGGAAACUGGGGAACUUGAGUGCAGAAAAGAAAAGGAUCCACGUGUAGCGUGAAAUGCGUAGAGAUGUGAAGGAACACCAGUGGCGAAGGCGGCUUUUUGGUCUGUAACUGACGCUGAUGCGCGAAAGCUGGGGAGCAAACAGGAUUAAUACCCUGGUAGUCCACGCCGUAAACAAUGAUGCUAAGUGUAGAGGGUUUCCGCCCUCUUA